rnacentral:snoRNA from 1 species
ACGACAUGAUGGGGACAUUUUCUGAUAAGGUCCUUUAAUCUGUCCCAUGAAUCAUGGAACUGCUCACCAUCUUGCUGUUAGAAGCUAGUAAGAGCUCGCCUUAUCUG